rnacentral:rRNA from 1 species
UACAGAGGUCUCAAGCGUUGUUCGGAUUCAUUGGGCGUAAAGGGUGCGUAGGCGGCGCGGUAAGUCGGGUGUGAAAUCUCGGGGCUUAACUCCGAAACUGCAUUCGAUACUGCCGUGCUUGAGGACUGGAGAGGAGACUGGAAUUUACGGUGUAGCGGUGAAAUGCGUAGAUAUCGUAAGGAAGACCAGUGGCGAAGGCGAAUCUCUGGACAGUUACUGACACUGAGGCACGAAGGCCAGGGGAGCAAACGGG